ACAAGAAUAAGAAAUAGAAGAAGAUGAAGAUGACGAAAAAGAAGAAGAAGAAGAAGAAGAAGAAGAGAAAUCGAACGAAAAAGGAAAGCGAAGAGAUCGAGACAAGUCUGUUCUUUCAUUAAUCAACGAUUAAGCCUCUAGCCUCGUCCUUUAUGAAUUAUUAUGAUACCACAUCUCACGACAUCGCCAUCAGUCACGACCUGUCGUGUAUCUCAGUAACUAUCUCCCGGGCCGCCUGGCAGACGUGUUUACAUUUAUCACCGUCAUCUUUUCAGCAUGCUUGAUUUAUCUUCGGAGCAUUAUCAUCUGGCACUUUGACAUUUUGUUUAAAUGGAUAAAAGUGGUUAAUGUCGUUUCUCCUUGAGAGGGAUGGAGCUUUGCGGCUGGAAGAUUGCGGAUAUAGUUACUAACUCAGUAUGUGUCAAAACUAUCGAUGCAACGAUUGCAUUUGUUUUAAACGCGAGCUAAUUUUCUUCCGUAUAUUAUUAUAAUUCUAAUUGCAUGUGCAAUCAUCCUAAUAAGCCCCCCUCUCUCUUCUCGAUUAUAAUUAUGAAAGAAAAUAAAAUUGGUCAAGGAAUAAUUAUAGUGCAACAUUAAAAUGCAACUAUAAUAUAUAACUGCGAUAAAGGAGUUUUAAAAGCCAUUAACAGUAAUUUUA